GUAACGGAGGUGCGCGAAGGUUCCCUCAGGCUGAUUGGAAACCAGCCGUAGAGUGUAAAGGCAUAAGGGAGCCUGACUGUGAGAGGGACACCUCGAACAGGGACGAAAGUCGGUCUUAGUGAUCCGGCGGUUCCGUAUGGAAGGGCCGUCGCUCAACGGAUAAAAGGUACGCCGGGGAUAACAGGCUGAUCUCCCCCAAGAGUUCACAUCGACGGGGAGGUUUGGCACCUCGAUGUCGGCUCAUCGCAUCCUGGGGCUGGAGCAGGUCCCAAGGGUUCGGCUGUUCGCCGAUUAAAGCGGUACGUGAGCUGGGUUUAAAACGUCGUGAGACAGUUUGGUCCCUAUCUACCGCGGGCGUAGGAACUUUGAGGGGAUCUGUCCCUAGUACGAGAGGACCGGGAUGGACGGACCUCUGGUGUCCCAGUUGUUCCGCCAGGAGC
rnacentral:ncRNA from 1 species